GGAUAGAGUGUGAGAAGAGGGGAAAGACAGGAAAUCUGUGCCUCUCUCUCCCCAGCAGUUUCUAGACUUUGCUGUUUAGAUAAGCUCAUCACUGCUGGCUGAGGAGGCUGCAAUGACUCCAGCAAGCUUGGGCCGAAGACCACUUAGCUGCUCCUCCUGAGGACCCAGGUUUGAUUUCCAGCACACAGGCUGUAAUCCAGUCUCAGGAGAUCCUGACACCUCCUCUGGCUUCUGCAGACUCUAGGCUUCAAGAUCUGGAUCACAAG